GGCUCAAGUGCUUUAUGGUAUAGAGGUUGCAUAUGCAUACUUGAUUGUCAUGUAGAUUUCCUUCCUAUGUUCUUUCAACUGGAAAGUAACAACAAAACUGAAUGGAUAAAUUGAUUCCUGUAACAAAUGGAUGUGUAAUGUGGAUACUCUAAAGGAAAAAGAGGCCAGAUAAAAAAGAUGAAAACUCAAGAGGCUUCAAGUUGCCUGAAAAAGGUGCUGAAUACCUUUUGCCACGGGAACCAUCCAGAAGACAAAAUGUACACAGAUUUCCAGAACAGUAUUCUAAACCUUCAAUUGCAUUGAAGUUGAAUUUUAUAGGUUUUCUCACUCUGCAUAUGUAUAAACUGAGAAUAGAAACUAUUCCCUAUAAAGAGGCUUCUAUACAUAUAUCAAAGGAUUUUGAUGACAUUAUAAUAACCAAUUGCAUGGAGCUGGGGCAGAUUGUGAUGAUUCUGGAAUCUCAAGACAUUUACUUUCUGUUAUAAAAUAUUAAUGAAACAGCUGACAAGCCAACAAAAUUCUAAAGGAGCACAUCUCACAGGAGAGAAAUUUGUUGACAUUGACUUGAACUCCAAAGUGGGUUUUAUGAACUCACCGUUAUGGAUGUACCUAUUACCUUUGUGUUAAUUGUGUAUUCAAGGAAGAGAUGCAGCACUUUCAGAGAUAAACAUCAUCAUAACCUC